rnacentral:rRNA from 1 species
AAUCUUCCGCAAUGGGCGCAAGCCUGACGGAGCAACGCCGCGUGAGUGACGAAGGUUUUCGGAUUGUAAAACUCUGUCCAAAGGGAAGAAACAAAUGACGGUACCUUUGGAGGAAGCCCCGGCUAACUACGUGCCAGCAGCCGCGGUAAAACGUAGGGGGCAAGCGUUGUCCGGAAUUACUGGGCGUAAAGGGCGUGUAGGCGGCCUUGCAAGUCAGUCGUGAAACCUGCCGGCUUAACCGGCAGCCUGCGAUUGAAACUGCCGGGCUUGAGUACAGAAGAGGGGAGUGGAAUUCCCAGUGUAGCGGCGAAAUGCGUAGAUAUUGGGAGGAACACCAGUGGCGAAAGCGGCUCCCUGGCCUGUAACUGACGCUGAGGCGCGAAAGCGUGGGUAGCAAAC